CUUUUCUGUCUCUCCUUUUCCCUGCCUUCUCUCCUCCUUCUCUCUUAUUUUUCUCCCUCCCACCCUACUCCCCAUUUUUCCGUUGAUUCCCAAACAAUGUAAUCUUCGCCUGUAGACUCUCAGAAACGUCAAGGUCAGUCCCACAUGCCUGCGUCUUUCAUGCUUUUGUUUAUGGGAAAGAGUUCAAAGGAGAGGGUGGAAUGUCAGGCCUUUCUCAGAUGAUGUAUUAACACUUUACACAAACCUUGGUUCAAGAGUUAGAAACGCCUCCUUUUCAACUAAACUCAAGACUGCUGGAAACAAAAGUUAAUGGUGAGUCUCCUGUGACCUUAUUCAGCACCAAAGCUUUCCUUGGACUUCAAUGGGAGCUCCAGAAGGGGCUAAUUGCCGGCUUGGAAUUUCCUGCUGGUACUUCUACUGUUUUGAUUUCUUCAAUAUUACUAAAGCUGGUUACGGUUAUCUUUUAGCAAUAGGAAUACAGUCCCAAGUUGUCUAUGUGCAGAAAAAAGGGAGGGGACAGGAAUAGCCCGAGUCAUACCGAAGGUCCAGGUGACCUAAGUAUUUUGGGGAUGAGAAGAACAUGAAGGAUAUGCCAGAAUUUUAGUAUAUUUGGUCAAAUAGGUAGCUUACAGGAAGGAAUCGGGGUGUGGAUUGGGUUAGGGAGUAACAGGAAACUGGGUGUAAAUUUGGGGAAAUGAGAAUUGUCUUGCACCCAUUAUUUUGGUGGGUGACAAACUGAGUCAGCAGGAAGGAAGUCCUGAUGGAAAGUUAAGGCAUUUUUGUCACAGUUAAAAGGAACCUGAGGCCAUCUAAUACAACCUCAAUCAGAAUCAGAAUCUCAACGAGCACCUCCGCGGUCUUUGAAGACUUCCAGGAAGGGGGAAGGCAAUUUGUUCCACUUCUGGUCAGUUCUAAUUAUUAAGACUUUUGAUCAGUCAAAGUCUACAAUGAUUCUCCAUCCCGCAAGAUAUUCUUCUACCUCUGGUCUAUCUGUGCUGUUACCAGGGAUGAAGCCACACAACAUAUGCUAUUCCUUCCUGGAACCUCAGAGACUCAGCCCACUCCCUACACUGACGCCACCAUGAAAAUACCUUGAUGAACCAUAAAGGCAAGUGAUUCUGAGAAGCCAGGCAUAGUAUUUGGGGGAUCAAACAGACUCGAGGCCGGUGGAGAUACAAUAGGCUCACAACAUUCUCCUCUCACCAAGGAAAAACAGUUGUGGUUAAGUGACUUGCCCAGGAUCACACAGUAAGUGUCAAGUAUCUGAAGCUGAAUUUGAACUCAGGCCAACUGUCUUAAGAGAAAUCGGGAAAUAAUACAGAACACACCACCAGAAUGAAAGAACCUCAGAGUUGCAAGGGGCCCCAGAGAUCUCCUAAUUCCUCCCAUGGCUGAAAGAAUCCCUAUUAUGACAGUGGUCCUGCUUCCUCUGCUUGGAGACCUCCAUCAAGAGAGGGCUUCCCCAUGACCUCUUCUGGCAGCUUUGUUCAACUCUGUUCCAGUGAUGAGGAAGAUCACCCUGACAAUGAGCCUAAUGGAAUCUGGUAGUACAGAGAGUGACGAGAAAGAUGAAUUUCAAUUUCUUUGCUUUCAUUCACCUUCUGAAGAAACUUCUUGGUGGCAGACACAGAGAGAUUAGGUGUCUUGCCCCAAAUUGCAAGAGGGAAGAAGAAGCAGUCUCAUUGCGAAGCUGGAGACUUCUCUAUUAGCCUAAGAGUACCCAAAGUCCAAUGUGAAUAAGAAUAUUAAUAAUAUGCCCCCUUUGGAGGCAGGACUCAAAGGUAGAUCUUCCUAGCACCGUUCUAGCCACUGAAGUCCAAUGUGAAUAAAAAAAUAUUAAUAAUAUACCCCUUUUGGAGGUAGGACUCAAAGGUAGAUCUUCCUAGCACUGCUCUAGUGACCAAAAUCCAAUGUAAAUAAAAAAUAAUAAUAUGCCCCUUUUGGAGGCACGACUCAAAGGUAGAUCUUCCUAGCACCGUUCUAGCCACCGAAGUCCAAUGUGAAUAAAAAUAAUAAUAUGCCCCCUUUGGAGGCAGGACUCAAAGGUAGAUCUUCCUAGCACUGUUUUAGCCACUGUGCCAAGCUGCUUAAUUUAAAGAUCAUUUUUUCCAGGCCAUGAUUUUUUGAGGUGAGGAAACCAAAGAGAGUGAAGAGUUUUGUUUAUGAGACAGUCAAGAAUCCAAGCUUUUCUUUGAGAGACAGUGGUAUAAUGGAUAGAACUACCAAUCUAGUGUCAGAGGAACCAUGUUUAGAACUGACCUCUCUGGACUGCAGGAGUUAUUUUUUUCUCCCUUUAAAACAUGGGGUAUGUGUAUGUGGGGAGAUCACACCUUCUAAAUUUAAGAUUCGAUGGCAAAUAGAAUUCAAGGUUGGACAAGACAUUAGAGGUCAACUAUCUCAACGUACUCCUGAAAACCCUGGUUAAUUAUAUUGACUUGAGGGUUUUUCUAAAGUUUAAAAAAAUAUAAUGAAAACACUUGGGGGAGAUAGUGAAGCUGUCACGCCCUCAUAGAAUACGGAAACAGCAUCAUCAAUUGAAAAGGUCAGGAGUUGCUGGCCCACAGAGAGGGGGCUCCUCCAAUGAGGAGGACUAUAGGGAAUCAGUUUUCACAGGGCUCAUCCUGCAAUGGACUAAUCACCACACACACCCUCAGAGUUCUCCUUGACAUCAUAACAACCAUCUACAUCAUCAAGCGGCCCAGGACAUUCCCAAGUAACAAGAGGCCAGCCAAGAAGAAAAUGACGGCGUCCCUGAGAAAGACAAGCACGGCCCAGAAAGUCGCCAGUUGGCCAGGCAAUUUUCAAAGGCAUCUGGACCUUGACCUGUUUGUUACGGAUAAAGGAGAGUACUUUGUAUAUAGCCAAAUAUUUACUGGAAGCUGCUGGCAAGACUAAGAAUGAGGGCUUGGCUGUCCCUGGGAAAAAAGGCAGCAAGAAGCUCCUCAUUCCCCAAGGACUAAGGAUGAGACAAUGGAUAGCGCUCAGAACCUGGACAGAAGAAGACCUGAGUGACUUAUGGCAAGUCAGUUUGCUCAUCUGUAAAAUGGGCUGGAGAAGGAAAUGGCAAAGCACUCCAGUAUCUUUGCCAAGAAAAACCCAAACACUGUCACAUGGAGUCAGAGAUGACUGAACAAUAACCACUAAAGAUCAAGAACAAAAGACCAAAGAGAUGUCUCUUCUACUAUGGACGUAGCAGAAAAAAGGCUUACAGAGUUGGGAGUUUUGGGCAAAUGGGGAAAAAGACUGGUGUGAGUCAGGUACACUAGAGAGAAGGGAUGGAAGAAAGACUCGGUGGCAUAAUGUCCUUUCCAUAACUACCUUACAGAGUCUUAAUUGGCAGAGUUCUGUGGGGAAGGACAUUGGAUUCGAAAUCUUAGGCUGUGGGUUCCAAAUCUGACCCUGCCACAUGCUGGCUGUGGGAUUCUAGGCAAAUGACACCUUCCAGAUCUCUGAGCAAGAGCAGAGGAGGUGCUGACUUGCACAGAGAAGAGGGAUUAUUCCUACCUGGGAGUUCCCUACAUCAAUAAAGCCUCAGGUCUAGUGCCCAUCUCCUAGGACAGUCGCCCAUUUUGACAACCAUUCAUCCCCUUCUAAACCAUUUUUCACUGAAGAGAGUUAGGGAGAAGAGUAGUUAAAGGCACAAUGAAACAAGAAAGGGAAAGGGUCAGGAAGAGAGCAAUGAGACAUCAGGAAAUUGGCUGCCUCUCCAAAGAAGAACCUUGAAGCUCCUGACCUUCCAAUGACUCUUAAUUCAAGUCCAGAACCUUCAUCUCAACUUGCCACCCACAAGCAGAGCCACGCCAAAAAUCACACCAUCACUCGGCUAUGUUCUGCCUCCGUGAGAUUGACCUCUGAGUUGCCUACAGUGAUGUCCUUGCUCUUUCACCUUUCUAUCUCUCCCAUCGACUCUUUGCCCCAUUUGGGACCUUAUCUUCCUCUCCUUGCUUUACUUGGCUCCCUGCCUGGCCUAGCCCUAGUACUUAGUCCUUCUAAGUCUGUACUUACUAGGAAGCUGGGAUCCUUUAACUGUCCACCUCUAUUCACCUCCAACCUUGGAUGUCACAUACUCCUCUGCCUUCUUCCUCUUACCCUUGGAUCACCUAAAACCCCAUUAGGACUAUUUAAUUCCUAUUAGUCACAUUUUUUCCUCCUACUUUAAAGGAUCCCAUUCACUGCUUGCUUGUCAUUGACAGUAAUUUUUAAGGGAAUGCUUUUAAUAAUCCCCACCCUUCUUUAUCUGUCAUGGUGCAGUGAGAAAGAACACUGCAUUUAAAACCUUACGGUUCAGACUCUAGUCUUGGCUCUACAACCUGUGUGACUUUGAACAAAUCAACCUUUCUGGAUCUCAUUUUAUUCAUCUGAAUUGAGGGGUUGCCUUCAUGAUUUCUAAGGCCCUUUCUCGUUCUACGAACUGUGUCAGAAUCAGGAUGAAAAACAAAAAAAAUCUAACCUUAACUUCGGGAUAACACGGCUCUUAACUAACUUCCUGUGGUACUCACACUGUACUAAUUAAUAAAGAGUGAGUGUACCCAUUUGUAAUAUAGUCUACUUUUCAUAACUAUAUUCACAAAUGGGUACAUUCACCAUUUAUUAAAUAGUACAGUUGUAAGUAUAAUUUGAAGUACACAUCAUGGAACUACAUGAUGAAAGAACAGGAAGGGACUUUGGUGGUCUUUGGAUGGAAAUCCUCCAUCCUUUCAAUGAUUUCUAUAAUUUAGAUUUAGGGUACUAAAGAGAUAUGUCACAGGGUCUGGAUUUGUUUCUUGGGUUUGCCACUUAAUACUCAUGUGACCUCAUAGGUUAUUUUAGUUACUUCAUCUGUAAAAUGAAAGGAUUGGACCAGAUGACCCCUAAGGUCAUUUCAAGAUGCAAAUCUUGGUGAUCUGGUUGAUUUUACUACAAAGUCAAUUUUCAGAUUUUGAUGGCAAUAUACACUGAGAAGUGCAGGUAUGCUGUUGGACAAAUAUUAAGUCCUGAUGCACUCAUGGAUGAAUAUAGGUUUGGGUUAUAUAUGAAUGGAGUUGUAACUAGCCUGGGCAAACUGGGCUUUGCCCCAGGUUGCUAAAAUGUGGAGCAUGUUCUUUCUUUUAUAAUGUCUGACAUUCCUGCUAACCCAUCGGAAGCCACUGAGCCUGGGCAGAGACCCUUAGGGUUACCUCACUGGAGUGUCCCUCCCCCUUCUAGAUCUACCUUGUUUCUUAACCCCUUGAAGGGUAGUGAGUACUCUCUCGCAGAAUAACUGCACCUAAUUCGAGCCAAGCUGCCCUAAGAUGUCAAUAGUCCUAGUUACAGCUCUGGAUGUGGAUAUAUUUUGGUGGGUUUUAUAACUAGAACCAGGGGAUCCAACCAAUCUGUAAACAAGAUUCUGGCCUUGUCUCUAUUCCCCAAACUCUAAAAGAGAACAUAUAGCAGAUGAAAGAAUUUACUUUUAAAAAUUGUGUUAAGAGACCAGUUUAAUCCUCAAGUAUUUUUUUCCAUAUCUUUUUUGAAACUAAACAGACACAAUGGACAUGUAAAACUUGUUACCGGCCAAAUUUGCCUCCCACUGUGCCAUCAAAAAUAAUAACCUUACUUGUCUAUUUUAUUUUCCAUGGCUAAAAGGGGAAAAGUCCACUAGACUCAUCUUUUUCCACAUCUUUCAACUCUUAAAAAAAAGCUGGGGGGAGAUGUAGCAUCUUCAAUCACAAGACCUCUCUAAAACAUAGCUUAUCUUUUUGGCCCACUGGACAGCUCAAUCAGGCAGUGCUUCACCAGAGAUUGCUUCCCUGAGAAACUUGACCUGUGAGCUCCCACAGAAGAGGAAAGUAGUUUUCUAAUAGCUGCUCUGACCUUCCCACACUUAAGUUUGGCCCAGAUUGACUGUGCCUGCUGUUCUAUCUUCUGAUAUUGUCUGUACAGCUCACCCCCUCAAGAGUGCCCUCCAACUUUCUGCAAACAACAGCCCCCUCACCAAACCUCCCCAUCCAGAAGCUAGCAAAGGCAAAGCUAAUCAUUAAGCCUUGGGUUAGCCAAUUCGGAGACCCUAAAUAAACUGCAGUAAUUUUUUUUAUCAAAUAUUUCGACAAGUGGAAAGCUUUCUGCUUGGCUGGUUCAUUACCCAUAAAUGCUCUCUCCCUAUCUACCUUGAGAGGGAAUAUGGAUGGAUUGAGUUAUUAAGCCCAUGCCUCCUGUAUUACCAAAAAUGGCUCUAGUCAGUCUCCUCAAUUUCCCACUUCUUGGCCUAUUUAUUAAACUUCCCUUAGACAUCACUGUAUGCUUUACGAGUAAGGUGCCCACUAUGUUGGGCCCUUUCUUUCUUCCUUCCCACUGACCACCAUAAAAAAAAAAAAGACAAUUCACCGAUUCUUGUUCUUUUAUUGGCAUUAGUAAAAUAGCCAGACUGGGGGUAGGGUUGGGAUGGGUCUCCCUGGAUGCCAGAGAGAAUAUUCAGUUCAGGAUCAAAGACCUUCCACCAUUGACAAUGGAGACGAGUAAAUCACUCAUUUAUUUAGCCUUACAUUUAUUUUCAACCCUCUGAUCCUUUGAUACUUUUGCUUUAUGAGAUGCAAGAGAAGCAAGCCAUUCUAUUGGUCUUCUAGGUUUUGGAAAGGCCACGUGAUCUCAUUUAUGCAGGACUGACCCUAAGUAACAGGGAAAUAAUAUGGGCAAAUCUCAUUGAAAAGGGGUAUCAAUCUAAGGAUAGCUUCCUACAGAGUGCUAGUAGGCUUUAAUACUCUCCAGACCUGGUUUUGUCACAGGAUCAUUGGCUUAGAAUUGGAAGGGACCUUGGAAGUUAGGAAGGCCAAUCUCUGCAUUUUAUAAUAAAGGAAAAUGACUAAGGUCACACCAACUGUCAAUAGCAGGGCUGGGAUUUGAAUCUCUGCCUUUGAACUGAGCAUUUUUCGCCCUGCUGCCCUCUCUAUCACAUUCGGUCAGGCCAUAAACUUCUAUCUAUCCAUUCAUCGACCAACAAGUAUUUAUGAAGUUCCUUUUGUAUGACAGACAUGUUAGGUGUUGUGGAUACAAGGACAUAUAUGCGCUAAUGACAAUCUGCCAUUUUUUUUUGGGGGGGGGGGGAGUGGUACAGGUUAGAUUUCAAUAGUAAAAUCCAAAUGUCAUUUCUUCUUUAUUUUUCUCUAAACAGCAUCUGAAUCUUAUUAGUUUUAGUUUAAAUAAGGGGCAGAAUGAGAAUGGGGAGACGGUAUAGCAAUAACAUCAAACUUUUCUUCUUCCUUCCCUCCUCUGUCCCAAUCAAACCCAACUUUUCACGACUUCCCUUCCCCAACUCUGGCCUUUUCCUUCUUCCCAGCUCAGCUUGGACUAAACUGCUUACCCCUCCCACUCGACAUUCCAAAAUUCUUCUGUGUUCCCAUUGCCUCCACAAAGGCUAUCCCAGUGACGUGAAUCAGCAAGCAAACACACUCCCCCUCAGAGUCAAACAACCAACCUCUCUCCUCCAGCCUACUUACAACAGCAAAAAUAGAAAAAUGCAGGCGGCGGGGCUGGGGGCUGGGGGGAGGGAUACCAGAGAGGCUGCCAUGAAAUGUCACUUUGUGGGAGAGAGGGACUGUGCCUUUGAGAUGUAUGUCAUUGCCGUGGGACAUUGCUAAAUUCUGACAAAUUAUCCCUGAUCUAAUGAAACUGGGGCCAUAUGCUAGACAGACUGUAAUGGGGUUAAAGCUUGAACACUCUAAUAACUUGAUAGUAAAUUCUACAAACAUUUAUUGAACACCUAGAUGGAGGGGGCUGUAUUGGGGAUAUAAAGAUGAAUAAAGCAUGAUGUCUUCAAGGAGCUUUCAACAUAUUUGUAACUUUCUAAAGAGUGAUUACUCAAUCACUUUGAGUUAUAUGUUUCUGAAGCCAAUGAAAAGGUUCUUUCCACCUCUGAUGCCUACAAUUCUAUAUUUCUCUUACUUCGUUUAUGGCCAACGAAUAUGCCUUUUCUGCAAAAAGUGACUUAUCUAUCACAAAGAUAGUAACUGUGCGUUUCCCAUUUUUGUAUACUUUAGACUCAAAACGCACAAAGAAAAACACAAAACAAUGCUCCUUUAUGAAUGUUACAUAAUGAAAAAAGAAGUCAAAACGUCAACUUAAUGCUAAUAUUAAGGAUCAUGCUACCUUUAGCUAAUGCUAAAUUCUGUAAGGAAAAAGAGAUGGCGUUUCUUAUUACCUAGACUUAAAGAGUACUUUUCAUCUCAUCAUGUAUCAGUUCUGUUCACUAAUUUAGUGAAAAGAAAGCAGAAAAUUCCAAUUCUAUAAUCUGAAAGCCAUUAUUAAGAUUAGUCAAAUAAUGGAGAAAUUGGGUGAAUAAUGGAGUUCAGUCACAUCUUAAAUAUUUUCAUAAAGAAGAGAGUCCAUUUCCGUGUGACCUCAGGAUGGUCAAUCUAGUUACUUCAAAGAUGUGAAUGGGAUGACCAGCCAAGUGGGUCAAGGACUGAGUUCAAUGAAUGACAAUGGCUAUCUUUUGUCUCUAAUCCCCAAACCUCCCCCUGGUGGCAUUCAGAAGGAUUCCACCUUUCCCAUUUUCAUAUCUUUAACUUUCAUACUUGCAUUGUAGUUGUAAAAGAAGGUCAGCAUGUGGAACUGUGGAGAGCUUAUAUCCCUAUAAUAGUCAAUGAGUACUUUAGAUGUACUUCCUCCCCACCCCCAAGAAGCAUCCACUUACUUCAAGAAAAUAUUGAUCUGACCCUAAUAUAUCAGACAAAAAUAAUCUUAAAAUUGAGAGUUACCAGGAAAUCAAUAAUUCAAUGGAUUAAAGAUCUAUGACUUCAUUGAGAUGGGAAUUCAUCUACUAAUGCAGAUUGCAAUAGCUCUAUAACUGAGUAGGUAAGUCUUAGAACUUACCUGAAGCUCUCUGACUUGCUCAUGAUUAUAUAGCUAAUAGAACCUGCCUGAAAGUAGUAGGAUUUGAACACAGGUCAUAAAUAUCGAAGGCAAGAUUUGAAACAAAUUCAGAGGCAAAAUUUGAACCAACUUCUCCAAUUCUAGAAUGAGUCUUCUCGCAACUGUAUCAUUUAUUCUGCCACAUUGACUCUCUUGGGUCUGAAGUAGAGGUGAAAAAGUCAUUUUUUUUCCUUAAAAGGACAUGCUCUUAUAUCCCUUUCCUAUUUAUCCUGUUUUGUGAGCUACUCUUUAAAAAAAAAAAUUGUGUCAUUGUGUCUCAAGUGAAUGGAAAUGAAAGCUGAGAUAUGCCUUUAGCACUUUUUUGUAAUUUGAAUCUAAGAAAUAAGAUAUUUUCUUAACCUAAUCAAAAUCAUGCACAAUGGGCAGAUGGGAAAGGUGGCCAACAGUCUUUCUAUGUUUUGGAAUCAUUCUUCCCAAUCCAGUGCUGCCCAUUGGCAACAGCUUAAUGUUAUCAACAUGAAUACAAUAAGAAAUUCAUGAAUAUUUUAUAAUCCAGACCCAACAAAUCAGUACAAGAGAUAUUAAAAAGAAAAACCAAUGAAAUGUUUGGCCCCCAAAAUUAUUUGUUUAUAUCACCGAGUACCAUUUCCAAGUCAGAAAUAUUUAGAUAAACAUCAUUUUAACAUAGACAAAUGAAACUAUCAUAUUACAUGAAAAUUACCAUUUGGUUAUUCUGAUUUCUUAGGGGAGGGAGUAGAACUUACAAAAUGUAAAUGUAUCUUUUUAUUAACUCCAAGAAAAUAUUAACAUGCAUUUCUGAUUACAUUCUACUUGUCUUUGAAGGCUGCCAAAAAACACUGAUUUUUAAACACGGUAGAUGAAAUUAAAUAACAA